GUUGACAUACGGUAUUUUGAACUUAUACUGAUUUGUAAUCAGUAGGUUGGGGGUUCAAGUCCCUCUGUCGGCACCA
rnacentral:tRNA from 1 species